GUGCUUCUUGUGUAGUGGUUAUCACAUCCGCCUAACACGCGGAAGGUCCCAGGUUCGAUCCCUGGCAGGCACA
rnacentral:tRNA from 1 species